UACGGAAGGGGGCUAGCGUUGCUCGGAAUCACUGGGCGUAAAGCGCACGUAGGCGGAUUGCUAAGUCAGGGGUGAAAUCCUGGAGCUCAACUCCAGAACUGCCUUCGAUACUGGCGAUCUCGAGUUCGGGAGAGGUGAGUGGAACUGCGAGUGUAGAGGUGAAAUUCGUAGAUAUUCGCAAGAACACCAGUGGCGAAGGCGGCUCACUGGCCCGAUACUGACGCUGAGGUGCGAAAAGCGUGGGGAGCAAACAGGG
rnacentral:rRNA from 1 species